UCUAUCCUACGGGAGGCAGCAGUGGGGAAUAUUGCUCAAUGGGGGAAACCCUGAAGCAGCAACGCCGCGUGGAGGAUGAAGGAUUUCGGAUUGUAAACUCCUUUUGUUAGAGAAGAUAAUGACGGUAUCUAACGAAUAAGCACCGGCUAACUCCGUGCCAGCAGCCGCGGUAAUACGGAGGGUGCAAGCGUUACUCGGAAUCACUGGGCGUAAAGAGCGCGUAGGCGGGAUAGCAAGUAAGAUGUGAAAUCAUAUGGCUUAACCAUAGAACUGCAUUUGAAACUGUUAUUCUAGUGU
rnacentral:rRNA from 1 species